UACAAUCAUAUCAUUCCAAGCCGAGGCAUAUCCUAACAAGAGGUAGACUAUUGAGUGACUCACUAAGAGAGAGACCUGAUGACACUGAUGAAGAAGAAACCUCAUCAACUUACUGGACUAGGCAACUAAUGAAAGUGGAAGAGAAUGAUCCUGACCGUUGGGGUCACAGUGGCUAUAAGGAACUCUAUCCAGAGGAAUUCAUUUCAACUGAUGAGGAGAGAGGAGGGAAGAGAAAGAGAGAGAGAG